GAUGAAGAACGUAGCGAAAUGCGAUAAGUAAUGUGAAUUGCAGAAUUCAGUGAAUCAUCGAAUCUUUGAACGCACAUUGCGCCCCCUGGUAUUCCGGGGGGCAUGCCUGUUCGAGCGUCAUUUCACCACUCAAGCCUCGCUUGGUAUUGGGCAUCGCGGUCCGCCGCGUGCCUCAAAUCGACCGGCUGGGUCUUCUGUCCCCUAAGCGUUGUGGAAACUAUUUGCUAAAGGGUGUUCGGGAGGCUACGCCGUAAAACAACCCCAUUUCUAAGGUUGACCUCGGAUCAGGUAGGGAUACCCGCUGAACUUAAGCAUAUCAAUAAGCGGAGGA
rnacentral:misc_RNA from 1 species